ensembl:lncRNA
GGAAGGAAGGAAGGAAGGAAGGAAGGAAGGAAGGAAGGAAGGAAGGAAGGAAGGAAGGAAGGAAGGAAGGAAGGAAGGAAGGAAGGAAGGAAGGAAGGAAAGAAAGAAGGAAAGAAAGAAAGAAAGAAAGAAAGAAAGAAAGAAAGAAAGAAAGAAAGAAAGAAAGAAAGAAAGAAAGAAAGAAAGAAAGAAAGAAAGAAAGAAAGAAAGAAAGAAAGAAAGAAAGAAAGAAAGGAAGGAAAAAAAAAAAGAAAAAAAGAAAAAAAGAAAAAACAAAAGAAAUAUCAAAGAGAGCCAGGUUCCAACCUGGAACCAGGUUCCAACCAGGUUCCAACUGCUAGACUGUUUGUCCAGCUCCCCAUGUCUUCUAGCACAAGCAGCAUUGCAGUGUGAAGCUUCUGGUUCAUUUAUGCACAGGAAACCUCUUAUUCGGGUGCUACUGAAAUGAGAGCUGUUUCUGCAGGCAAAAGAGGAAGAAAGCUCUGUCACAUGCAGUGUCACACCAGUGAAGUCAUGCACUGGCAUAACAGCAAGUGUUGUCAGUUGUCAAAGGCCAUCUGUAGCCAGCAGACUUAAACUGUCAUCCUGCAAAAAGAUGCAAACAAGCCUAAUGGGAGAUUGCUUUAUCCUCUUUCUGGCAUUCAAUCAAAUGUUCCCUGAACAGACAUAGAAAACAAAGGAUCACUUUUUUUUUUUUUCCUAAAGAAAAACAUUAUUUUUGUGGCAGUUUAUAUAUUUUCAAAAUGACAGGAAAAAUAGGAAGAAUCAAAGAAAAUUCCAUAACCAAAGGGUCACUCGUCAGCUGUGGAUUGCAUGUAACUCUGUUGCUCCAGGGAGAAAGGGAUUGCUCCACUGCUUGCUCUGCAGAAUAGACUCACAGACUUUUGAAUCAUUUAUGCGUUUGCUAUGUAUCAGAUCUUCAAAUCAACCUGCAACUGAAGAGAGGAGACGUGCAGGGGGAGAGGAACACUUUCCAUCACAUGCAGGCCCCAGUGGUGUAAGGGGGGAAAUACUCUGUUCCAUAUUCCUGGAGGCAAAGACAAAUGUGCUUGUUUGGUUGGUUCUAGCGCGGACAGGGUCCAAAGAAGAAGAGCACUGAAAAGUGAAAAAUGAGUCUUGGGAUCUGUGCCUGGUACUGAUGCAAAUGAAGGUGGAACUAUACAAACAGCAACACAAUUGGGCCAUUCAUCAUUCCUUCAUUAGCAGCUUUUCUUCACAACACCCCCAUCAAAGAAAGAAAACCUCCCUUCUUUUUAUUAAAGAUCAAGAGGAUUGAAAAGAAAGCGUAAUUGAGUUCUGAAGAUAAGUUCAUUCAACACCAAAUCAAAGCCUGGAAGUAGCAGCAAGCUAACUAGCUGUGUACAGAAGCCCUGCAAAAACGCAUCCAUCCAUCUUGUUGACAGAAGGGGCUCACACACACAAACUGCUUCCGCAUGAGAAUGGGAAGACAGCACAUGUUGCUCUGUACAACAGCAUACAGGGACCAGAAAUUGAUGGCAUGCAGCUGUGGGGGCAAAAUCUCUUCUCAGCCUGCCCAUGGAGACUUGAAAGGCUGACAGAGGAAAACUUCAUUUAAGCAGUGAUAUCAAAGACAUGUGGGCAAAUAAAAUACAGCAGUGUCUCUGCAAAUAACACAUAAAAUUACCAAUUAUUAUGUAUGAAAAACUAGUCUAGAAAAAGAAACGUAGCUUCAACUCUUUCAUAAUAGUUCAUAUAUGCAGCAAUUACUGCCCCAACCAAUAGCAAAGUAGAAAUUAACACAGUGGCCAAUGGAUGUUUGCAGGAAAUAAGCUGUUAAAUUAUGCAAUUGCUUUGAGAGGAAGUAUAAGAGACAUGAAAUGCACAAAAUAAAUCUGUGGAAUUGUAAAGGCUUGCACAGCAUGGAACUAGCAUGUAACUACCAUGCAAGCAUGGACAAGGCACUGCAGAAAUCACAACACGGUUGUGCUGAGCCAGUAUAUAGCUUUUAAUCAUGUAUGUGAUUACAUGAUUAAAAGCUAAAUAAUAACCAUCUACAAGGGAAGGUAAACUAAAAUUAUGUUGGCAAAUUGGAGGCAAAUUUCCUUCUCUGCUCACUCAUGCACACCUUGUUUCUGAGUUUAUUUUGUUUAUUUCAUUGUUUGGGUAAUCUAGAAGAUAGGUGUGUUUUACCAAAGGUCAGGGUCGUCACUGUGUAUGGAAUAAUACCAUAGAACCACCAAGGUUGGAAAAGACCUCCAUGAUCAUCCAGCCCAACCACCCACCCACCGCCAGUACUUCCCACUAAGCCACAUCCCUCAGUACCACAUCUGAACAGUUCUUGAACACCUCCAGGGACACUGACACCACCACUUCCCUGCGCAGUCCACUCCAGCACUCACCACUCUUUCAGGGAAUAAUUUUUUCCUUUUUUUUUUAUUUUUAAAUUACAUAAUACCAUGCACCACUAUGCUCUUCUAGACACUCUGAAAGUAUUUGCUGCUCAAUGAAACUGUCCUGCAAACAUUUCUGCAAGGUGUGCACAGCGAGCUGCAACACUGUGCAUAGCAUCUGAGAUGUUUUACUGCUGAAGUUUUGCUUUAAUUCCUGGUCAGUGCUCACAGAUUACGCAUCUGCCUCUGACUUCUUUUGCUUGGG